rnacentral:rRNA from 1 species
AGGACGAACGCUGGCGGCGUGCCUAAUACAUGCAAGUCGAACGCUUCUUUCCUCCCGAGUGCUUGCACUCAAUUGGAAAGAGGAGUGGCGGACGGGUGAGUAACACGUGGGUAACCUACCCAUCAGAGGGGGAUAACACUUGGAAACAGGUGCUAAUACCGCAUAACAGUUUAUGCCGCAUGGCAUAAGAGUGAAAGGCGCUUUCGGGUGUCGCUGAUGGAUGGACCCGCGGUGCAUUAGCUAGUUGGUGAGGUAACGGCUCACCAAGGCCACGAUGCAUAGCCGACCUGAGAGGGUGAUCGGCCACACUGGGACUGAGACACGGCCCAGACUCCUACGGGAGGCAGCAGUAGGGAAUCUUCGGCAAUGGACGAAAGUCUGACCGAGCAACGCCGCGUGAGUGAAGAAGGUUUUCGGAUCGUAAAACUCUGUUGUUAGAGAAGAACAAGGACGUUAGUAACUGAACGUCCCCUGACGGUAUCUAACCAGAAAGCCACGGUAACUACGUGCCAGCAGCCGCGGUAAUACGUAGGUGGCAAGCGUUGUCCGGAUUUAUUGGGCGUAAAGCGAGCGCAGGCGGUUUCUUAAGUCUGAUGUGAAAGCCCCCGGUCAACCGGGGAGGGUCAUUGGAAACUGGGAGACUUGAGUGCGGAGAGGAGAGUG